CCUGCCACCAGCAGCCUCAGCUCCCCUCAGCAGAGCUCUCUACUUGCAAACCCCCGCUCCCCAGCUUCCUGCUAUUCCUGUAACAAGCAAAGCAACAUGUCUUUAAAUCCCCCACAAUAUGGAAAGGGCCAAUUUAAUUUGUCCUUAUAAUUUUCGGGCCCUGCUGGUGGCUGUUAUUACUCAGCAGCCCAUGGCUGCAGACAGGCCUUUUAUGAGGGCCUGGAGACGCCGGCGCCACCGGGAACUGCUGGGCUCAGCUAAAAGUGCAUUUUUCUGGAAUAAUUUCAUAUCUGAUCCCCUGUUCUGAAAGGAUGCAAUUGCUUCUUAGGGAUUAAUACAAAAAUUUCUGUGGCUUCAGGGACACCCCAGGAGACAUCUGACAGCAGCUUCUGACAUGGAUUGUAAACCCCUCCAGAGGGCUUUUUCCUCCAAGAAAAUGCAAUGGUGUUUCAAUUAUAAAUCAGCCAAAUCAAGGGAAAUCCUAGAGAAGAUAAAGCAAUGUGCACUCCUCCUCGAAUUAUGAUAUCAAAUUCAACUUCACAAUGGUUCUGCUUUAAAAUUCUUUCCUCGGAUCCCUUUCCUUCCCAAUACAAUGAGAUAAAGUUAUUAACAGAAGAGGUGUUUUAGAAGCAAAAUAUUUUUUAGCUCUUUACCAGCUCUCAAGGACGCAAAAAUUUUACACCUCUUCAGUGAAACAGUCCUUAAAAAAAUAAAUCUUUGAAGCAUAAGAACCCCACCAGUGAAUGCAACGUUCCACAAAAUGUAAUGAGUUGUAAUGAGUGGAAUACUCCCACAAAUCUAAAGCAAAGCUCAAGAUUACAGUUCAUCUGCCCUGAAGGGCUGGCUGGGCACGAGGCACAUUCUGUCCACCUCAGCUUGGCUGCAAGAAACACGAUGUUCUCCCAGAGAGAAGGGGGAAAAAAAUAAAAAGGGCAAAAAAUUCCAAGACACAGAGCCUCCAAAGAAAUGGGAUCCAGAUGUUGGAGAUAACACAGCUCACUAAGCAGCCAUAAACAGCUCCUGUUAGAGCACAUUUGCACCUCAGCUUUUCCAAGGGGUUUCAGUUAAUUACUGUGCACUGGCUCAGGAAAACCUUGGCUUGGCUGGGUUGGGUUUGCUCAGCCUGCUCAGAACCUCUGCUCCCUCAUUUCAGAUUUUUUGACAAGUGAAAUCUCUUCCUCCCCCUUCCCAAUUUUAAUUGCAUCUUUUCAGCAGUGCUCUGACACUCAAUGGCCUCCUCUUGGCCCUCAGAGGGAACCCCUCCCAGCCAGAGAUCCACAUCCCAGCCCUGCACCUCCAUCCCACUGAUCCCAUCCCAUGGAUCCCAUCCCAUCCCACUGAUCCCAUUCCAUUUCAUUUAUCCCAUCCCAUCCUAUUGAUCCCAUUCCAUUGAUCCCAUCCCACCCCAUCCCACUGAUCCCAUUUCCAUCCUAUCAAUCCCAUCCCACUGAUCCCAUCCCAAUCCCAUCCCUCACCUGCUCCAGGCUCUCAAUAUCUGCCCGAAACCCCGAGAACAAAGGCACUUCCAACACAGCCAUGUUUGAGGAUCCAGAGUGCAGCCAUCUUCCCAUGGGAACAAAAAGAGAGAAAAUGGGAACAAACUCAAGAUCCAUGGACAACUCAGAACAGAGAAAACAACUCCAGAAGAAGAAAAAAAUAACAUUAAAAGGCUCUCCUCAUUGAAGUGCUUGGGGAAAGCCACAAGUUUGUUUUCAAAAAUCCUCUUUUCUGCUUUUAUUUAACAAAAUGAUGCCCAGCUCACAGGGGGUAGGAGAUGUCCUGGAACACAGAGGCAGAAAAGCAGAGGGAUGGAUGCAGCCACCUGUGGGGCUGCUUGCUUUCUUUUUCAAUUAAUCACUGAUAAAUGCACUUGGUAAAAGGAAAUGAACCCUUGGAGUAGGAGAAACUUCUUUUCCACCCUGAGAGAAGGAGUGUAGAUGGAUUGUGCUGGGAGAGGGAUGCUAAUUCCCAACACCAAGGUCAUUCAGUCCUGGGGUUUCAUAAAUGCCUGUUUCAUCCCUGGCACUGAGAAUAGGGCUUUUGCUAACGAGUCAGCAAAGUCACUGCCUUGUUGGUGUUAAAUCUGCAUCAUCCUCUAAAGUAUAACUGAAAACUCAGAAAAAUCUCUGAAAUUGAGUUGUUAUAAAUGUGCACAAAAUCCCCACACACGAAAGGCAUGGAGAGAAGGGCUGUUGGGGCAAAAAUCUCAGUUUUUGCAGCAUGGCAGAGGAUAUUCCAUCCUUAGGCAGCUCCUGGAAUCCCAGAACAAGGCUCCUUUUCUCUGCACUGCCAGCAGCUCCCAGCCCUCCCUUGGCAGCUCACCUGUUUGUGCCCCACCUGAGCUGGGCCCAGCAGGGCUCAUCAGCUCAUGCCAGCUCUGAGAAAACACACUCCCACAGCUUCCAGCCCCAAAUCUGCCAGCUCUGAGCUGGCUCCUUGUCUGGAGCCCCCUCAGCUCAGGGGUGGUGAACUGGCUGAAGCUGGGGUGCCCAAGGCUCACAGUAGCAUGAGGUGGCCUGGGGACAGAGCCAGCUGGCUUUGGGGGAGGCACUCAGGGCUCCCAGAGCCGUUAAACCUCCUUAAUUCCCAUCUAACUCCAUGCUCCUCUUGGUAAUGGGCAUAAAAAGAUGCAAGAGCAUGCAAAGUGUAUUCAAAAAGACCCACACUCCUAAAUAAACCAUGUAGGAUCCCUUUGCCUGCAUCUCCCCAGGCUCUGGUACACAUCACAGCUUUCUGUUUUCCACCCUGGGUUCUCCCUAACCCUCCAGCAGUGCCCCAGGGGUGUCACUGGGCACGACAACACUUCAUCACAUUCUGAGAACACCCCCAGCUCCAAAUAGCUCAGUUGUCAUCCUUAGCUGCACUCCUCUCUUCACACUGCCCCAGCAAGAUGAUGAUGGAGCUGAGAGCAUCAGUACAGGAAGAAGGGGAGGAAAGGAAGAUUUCAUUUGCUUUUGUUUCCUUUCCAAGCAAUCCAUCUCCCUGCACUGGGCUUCCUCUCAAAUGUCUGCCUCAGCUGCAGCAAUUCCCAGGGCAGGAGUUUCAGAAUUAUCAGCAGAGAGGUUGUGCUGAUGCAGGGCAGCCUCCUCAGCAUCUGACACCACUGUGGAAUUUUAUCCUCUCCCCAAAACAGGCUGAGGGCUCGGGCAGGGGGAGAAGAGGUUGGCACAGUGACACAGGGGGGCAGUGCCUGUACCACAGCAUGGCCCCAUGGGCCAGGGAAAACAAAUCCCAGCUUUUCCUGGGGCCCUGCAGCUCUGCUCAGCUCUGCAGUCUCUGUGUGCCCUUGGCUCUGCAGCAAGGAAGGGACAGAAGCUGAUAGGGGAGCCAGAGUUUCCCAUUAAGCUCCGACAGGGCAGCCACAAUUUUCCAUUUCCAUCUGAGCCACCCUCUGGACCUUCCUGUUGGAGAGAAGCAGCACCUGCCAUGCUCCUGGUCACAAACAUGAAAUUAGUUCUGAAUUUCUUGGGAAUGGUUUCUUCUGGUUGUGGCUUUAUCUCUCCUGGGUCAAAUUCCCAAUAACCUCCCUAAAAAUCCAAAUGCUUUCUAAAGAUAUCAGCAACCCCUGACGACUGCAGCAGUAGCAAGGUGUUUGAGCAAAACUUGUAAGUGGAUUUAAUAAGGGUCAGCAACUAUUCUUGCUGCUGUUUGGAAAAUUCAAGUUAUUGUGAGAAAACAGCUUGGCUUUAGACAAUCUAUAAAAAAAGACAGAACUGCUCAUGUCUCUGCAAAGUGCUUUGAGAGCUAGAAAUAAAAUUUCUGGAUCAUGCCACUUAAAAAAGUUAUUUUACAUGUCAUUACAUGGAGCAAGGAGAUAAGGAAUUUAAGAGCUUAUUAACAAAUAUCUGCAUAUAUUGUGCCUUUGCCAUAUAUUCCAAAUUCAUACCAUGGCAACAAGAAUCUUUUGUUAGGAUUUUGCUAUCCAAAACUGAACCACUAAGGAGCUCAAAUAAUAAAGUCAAGUCAGUAAUAAUUAUAAAACUAUUGACACAAUUAAGAUAUUAGUCAACCAAUUGAAUUUACCUUGCUCUUUGAGUCUUUUAAGAAAAUAAUCCAGAACUUUUUCUUUUCAUCCUUAUACAAGCAAAUCACACCACAUUUGUAAUUUUUCAGGGUUUGGAGGGGCAAUAAUGAAACUCAGUGAUAAAACCUCAAGGCAUUGCUCUUAUUUCUCUACCUCUGACAAGCAGUUAGCAUUGAAAUGAUCAAGAAUGACCUUGGAAUUACUCUGUCCUACAACCCAAGUGGUGAAAAUAAUCCAGAAUCUUUUCUUUUCAUCCUUAUACAAGGAAAUAACAACACAUUUGUAAUUUGGAAUGAUUCUGUCCUACAACCCACAGCGGUGGCUGAAAAUUCUGCUGAAAAUCCUGAGAUCCAACCAGCACAGCAAGAGAGAACUCGGUGCUUUCCUGGCACAGAGGGGCUGUGCACUGUAGUAAUCACACAUCCUCUGAACAGAGAGAGACAUAGUUCUCCCAGGAUUUUCCUGGGAAGCUGUGAGAAAGCUCAGAGGAAGAAUUAAAACAAUUAUCUCCAUUGUCGCUCUAGGACACGAAAUAGAAUGAUGCAGACACUGGAAUCUUUCAGGUAAAAAAGAGGGAAAGUUUAAUUCUGACUCUAACAUUUAUAGAUUUCUAUAAGUGACAGUGGAUUGGAGGAUGACAGUGCCACCUCUCCAAUGACACUGGACAAACUAACAGUCCAUCAAAUUUUUCCUCCUCCAGAAAAGAAUGUAAAACAAUUAAUUAUUAUAUAAAGUCCAUGAGAAAGUUCAUUACAAGAAUAUAAACAUCAGAAGGCUCAGAAGAACUCAGAAGAACAGGGUGGCACUCAAUUUCUGCACCUGGCAGGCAAUUUCUGUUUGUCAAAGACGUUUAUAAGAAGGAGCUGUUCCUCCUUGACCAAUAUGUGAAAGAAGAUUCCUAAAGGCCAAUCAGGUCUUAGGUCCACCAUUGUUUCUGUAAGAAGUGUGGAUUUCUAAUAAUAAAGGACUUUCCACGCCUUCUGAA